UGGGGAAUUUUGGACAAUGGGCGAAAGCCUGAUCCAGCAAUGCCGCGUGUGUGAAGAAGGCCUUCGGGUUGUAAAGCACUUUUGUCCGGAAAGAAAUCCUUGGCUCUAAUACAGUCGGGGGAUGACGGUACCGGAAGAAUAAGCACCGGCUAACUACGUGCCAGCAGCCGCGGUAAUACGUAGGGUGCAAGCGUUAAUCGGAAUUACUGGGCGUAAAGCGUGCGCAGGCGGUUUGCUAAGACCGAUGUGAAAUCCCCGGGCUCAACCUGGGAACUGCGUUGGUGACUGGCAGGCUAGAGUAUGGCAGAGGGGGGUAGAAUUCCACGUGUAGCAGUGAAAUGCGUAGAGAUGUGGAGGAAUACCGACGGCGAAGGCAGCCCCCUGGGCCAAUACUGACGCUCAUGCACGAAAGCGUGGGGAGCAAACAGGAUUAGAUACCCUGGUAGUCCACGCCCUAAANGAUGUCAACUAGUUGUUGGGGAUUCAUUUCCUAGUAACGUAGCUAACGCGUGAAGUUGACCGCCUGGGGAGUACGGUCGCAAGAUUAAAACUUAAAGGAAUUGACGGGGUCAUAGCUGUUUCCU
rnacentral:rRNA from 1 species